CGUCAAGUUCACUUUAACUAGUUUAAUUAUAUUAUUGAUUAAACGUUCAUGAAUUAAAGUUCAAUUUUAUUAUAGAUUGCACUUUUUCACUUUUUGAGGUCUUGCUGUUCUACUGCGUCUUCUGAAGUUGUGGAUCUGUUACGGUCCUUGUCGUGAUGGGUACUGAUGCGUCUUACUUCUUUGGUUGGUUCCUGUAGGUGGGGGGGGGGGGUGUUCUGAGAAGGUAAGUAGAUUUUAUGAUUUUAAGUAGGUGGUUUUGGGAUGUGUUACAUUUCUUGUGUCUGAUUUGUUUUUAUUAGGAUAUCAUAAAUUGGGUUGUAACUAUCAGUCAAAGCUUCGUUCAUUUGUAGGUUUUGCUUAGUUAAUUCACAUAUGUGGAAGCUUUCUAGUGUGUUCAGCAUCUUUCCUUUCUUUUCUAUGUGGAGUAUUUCCAUUGCUUUGUCUAUGGUGUGAUAAUUGUGCGUUGUGUCCAGUAUAUGUUGGGCGAAUUUUGAUUUCUGCCCAUACUCACCAUAUGCGAAAGAGCAUAAUACGAAACCACCUAAUAACAACACCACAGAAGGAUAAAUGGACCAAAUUUACAUACUUCGGCCGCAGCAUUAGAAGAAUCACUAAACUAUUUCGUAA